ACCGUCGAACGAAGAGAAUAGAGCAACUCAAUCUGAUGACUGAGCGCCUGGAAAGCAUCGUCGAUCUCGAAGGUAGUCAAGUAUCGUCGCGCUCACCAAAGCCGGAAGCAGCUUUCAAAGCCAUGGAUUCGGCUUUUCACCAGUUUAGGCAGAAGGGGAUCUUCGACCGCGCCGUGCAAGCCUUGAUGAU
rnacentral:misc_RNA from 1 species